UCCUUUCUCUCUCCUCUUUCACCAAUGAGUGGUGAGUUUCCUUUCUCUCCUCUGGGUAGGUACCUCUUGGAUGUAGGACUUUGUUCCAACAGCUGCCACACGUGAGAUCCUGAUCGUCUUCUUCCCAGUGUUGUUGCCUGCUGCUGGGGGAAGGAAGGAAAGAUUCAAACCAGGACCGGAUAAGGUCAAACUCUGGGCGGGCUGCCAGGUUUCGCCUACGCUACGGUUUCACAAGAUUGAACCUUUUUUGUGAAACCGAGUUCCAGAGCACGAGGGAAUGGGCUUUCAUUCCCGGGACCGCCUCGUCUAUGUACUCGGCGCCUCCCCCGAUUGCUUGAAGAUGCACGCACGAUAUGAUAAAGGGCCCUGGGGAGGAACCAAUGAAAAGCCAGGGUAGAGCCUCGGAGCCGG
rnacentral:misc_RNA from 1 species